GACGAACGCUGGCGGCGUGCUUAACACAUGCAAGUCGAGCGGUAAGGCCCUUUCGGGGGUACACGAGCGGCGAACGGGUGAGUAACACGUGGGUGACCUGCCCUUAGCUCUGGGAUAAGCCUGGGAAACGAGGUCUAAUACCGGAUAUGACCUGCUCUCGCAUGGGGGUGGGUGGAAAGUUCUGGCGGUGCAGGAUGGACCCGCGGCCUAUCAGCUUGUUGGUGGGGUGAUGGCCUACCAAGGCGA
rnacentral:rRNA from 1 species